GCCCGCGUGAUGGAAUUGGUAGACGUAGGAGACUCAAAAUCUCCCGGUGGCGACACCGUGUCGGUUCGAGUCCGACCGCGGGCACCA
rnacentral:tRNA from 1 species